CCAACGGCCCUCUUUAGGGCCACAAAUCUAUAAUCCAAAAUUCUUU
rnacentral:ncRNA from 14 species